rnacentral:lncRNA from 1 species
UACGUGAGGGUUCAUUUACUAGCCUCUCUCCUGAGUGCUCAGGUGAUUCUGAGUUCCCGAGGCAGACUCAUUAGUGGUCCACCAACACCCACUCCUCCCCUCUGCCUUGCUGGGAGACCCUCCACUUGUUACAGUAGAAUCCAUUCUCCUUGCAGUUGGAGGCACACUAGAGCAGAAGUCCAAGGGUUUCUGAAGAAUCUUUGACUUUCCUUAUAAAAGGCACAGAUAUGACCGCAGCCUCCUCUUUCGUCACUUCUUGCUGUCUGGAAAGUAGACCGGAUGUCUGGAACUGCAGCAGCCCUUAUGGAACCAAAGGAAACGAGCCAGAGGAGAGAGUCAACCUGACAAGAUGAGGACAAACAGGAGCCAGGAUGGCCCGGUCCAGCAACAGAAGCAAGGCCAGCUACCCCCGGGUCCUCAGCAUGCAGGACCCACAAGGGCUCUUGCCAGGGACUCCAGUCUCUCUGCUCCCAGCAGCACACACAGAACAGCCCAACACUCAGGCCACACCUUCAUUCAAGGAGCAUAUGGUGAGUGGGGGGGGGGGGGGCAAGUGGGCAUGUCACCACCAGCAAUCCCAAGCCUCAGACGAAUCUGUUCAUUUAGGGAAAAGGUGGGAAGAACCCCAGCACUUCAAGGCUGCUGUGCUUCUCUUGAACAAAUUCUGAAAUCCAUACCUCCAACAUGAUUUUUAGUUUCUGACUUAAAAUGCAGUAAAGCAACUGUAUGUGAAUAUUUUGAAUUUGCAAAUGACUCAUGUACUCAGCAGCCCAUAAUCUUCUCGUGGGCAGGAGAGGGGCCUGGAUGCCUGCUAAGAUCCCUGCUCAGCUGAGGGUGAAAGGAAUCUGUGCAUCACAGGAUCCUGCUGUGUGCAGGAGACCCCACCUCCAGCGCUUCCUUUAACCCCACACCCACCUCCACGGUGAGAUCUUAUUACCUCUCUUUUAUACAUUUUGAACCUGAGUCUCGGAGGUUGAGCGAUUUUGCCCAAAGCUACGACUGGUAGUGCCAAUCAGACUCCCCAACAUUUCUCUCGGUUAGCACCAGCUCUGUGCCCAGUGCCUGACUGGCCUGAGUCUUGAAUCCUGAUGGACACUGUCAGGGAAGAGCCCGCUUGGCUGCAACCUUAGAAGCAUAGGUUUUCUUCCUUGCCCACCUCUCUUUCCUUCCUUCCUUUAUCUCUCCCUCUCUUCCUUUCUCAUGUUUUAUUUUUUGGUAGGUGGUGGGGGGAAAUCAAACUUCAGAGUUUAGAAGCUCCCGAAUUUCUCCUCGAUGUAUUGACUUGGGGAAUUGCUACAUUGCCCUCUGGACUAUUUCGAGAGAAUGUGAGUUGGGAUCUGUGAAAGAAGACAGUAAUAGAUGUGAACGCUUUACCAGGAUGCAACAAAGCUGUGUUCAUAAGGAGCCGACUGGGGUCCAUCUGUUUAAUUCUCUUCUCUUCUUGAGAGAAAAUAACAGAACUAUGUCAAAGUAACCCUGAGGAUAGACUCACAAUGGCCUUUCUAAUGUCCAGUGUGUGGAAAGAUAGCUCAACAUCAGAGCUACGGGUAUUGUGUACAAAUACCCCAUACCUGGAAGACUUCUUGAUUACAUUCAUAUCUACCUCAACCUCCAGAAUGCUGUCCUGUGGCCAAAGGAGUGAGUGCAGGUGUGUGGGAAGGUUGGAGAAGAGAUGGACACCGUCAGGACACCGUUCCACGGGGCAGCCCAGAGGAAGCAGCUGGAGAGACCAGGACGAGAUGGUCCCAGUUCAGUUCGGGUUGUGGCCUCCAAUUUGUAUGCUAACGUCCUCAGCCCCAGCACCUCAACAUGUGAUCUUAUUUGCAGAUGUAGCUAGUUAAGAUGAGGUCAGCCUGGGACAGCGUGGACCUCUAGUGCAGUAUGUCUGUUGUCCAUACAAAAAAACUGAAACUGGGGGACAAGCGGACAGACCAAGCCCGAGGUGAUGCCAGGUAUAGGUGGAGGCAGAGAUUUGGGUGGUCUCCAUAAGCCAUGGAGUGCCGUAGUGCCCAGGUGCCAGCACACCCAGAGGCCAGGGAAAGGCUGCCCACUCUUCCUGGCAGCCUGCGGACACCUUGGUAUCCACUUUCCUGCCUGCAGAGCUGGGAGAUGACAAAUUGCUGCUAAGUCUCCCAGUUGGUGGCACUUUGUUAGAACAGCCCUGACCAAUGAAUAUGCCCUUCAAGGACACUGACCUUGAUGACUAGGAAGUUUCCCACACGUCUGCUGAUUUCUUCAUGCGUUUUCCUUUCCUUUGUAGAAUAGUUAUUGGGCCGCAUGUUGACCACCCUGCUGAGCCCUUCCUUGACCCCAAGAGUCUUGUUCCUGGGAGAGAAUGUGCCCCGUACCUUGGUGUGACCUUAAGGCUGUCACGUGCUGAGUUAGGUGAUGUAGGAGCAUUGUGUGCAUGCAGUGAGUGUGCAUGUGAGAGUGUGUGCAGUAUAUGUGUGUGAGUGCAUGAGAGUGAACACGUCACCGUGUGUACCUGCAGGUGUGCACAACAGUGUGACUGUUCCUGGGUGUGAGCGUGUGUGAGCCGGAGUGAGGUCUCAGAGGCUCGGCCCCUUGUUGUUCUGGAGGUGGAGGCUGAGUGUGUCACUGGAGAGAAGGAAACCUGCCCAAAGUUCCAGCACAGGGGCCUGCGAGGGGGCAGCUCCACCCUCUGGAGGGCCCAGAGUUUUCCAGUGGGGUCCUGCGGGGGUCGGGCUAGGACUGGACUGGACUCACAGCUGGGACCCGCAUGAGAGAAAGGAAAGAGCAUUAAAGCUUUUCCAACAGCCUCCCUGUUUUCACCCCUGGGGAGUUCACCAGGAGUGGUGAGGCCGCAGAUGGGAGAGUUAUGCAGCCAUUGAAGGUCCACUUCGAGGAAUUUUUAAUCCCCGGGGAAGCUGCUUGUGGGUGGAAAGUAGAGCGACCUUCAACUCAGGAGUCCUGCAGACUCACUCGUCCACAUCUGGGCUCACGCGCGUUGCUGGCGGUACAUCCUCGGGCACCACCGCCCCUCCCUGCCUCGGGUUCUGUAAGACGGGUGCCACAAGCCUACCAGUCCCAGAGGCAGUGGGUGACACUGAGGGGUUCCCAGCACCAGAAGCCCUGACCUGUGGCAUUUGCUGUCAUGACCACCAUUCCCAGGAUGACCAAUAUCAAGCUACUGAUGGUUUAAUGACUUAUUCACAAAAUUUCUGAAAAUUUGACACCCACACAAGCCAGGGGAGCUGACCCAGCUCACCUCCAGAGGGUUACUCAGGAGAUUAAAGGACUGUACAUACCGAACACUGAGCAACGCCUAGCCCAAGAGACAAAUGGGAGCUGUCAUUACUAUUGUAUUUUAACACAUUGUCAUAGAUACAUAAGUGCAAUAAAAAGAGUGGCCAGUAUGGUUGCACUCGCUUGUAAUCCCAAUGACUCAUGAGGCUGAGGCAGGAGGAUCACAGGUUUGAGGUCAGCCUCAGCAACUUAGUGAAGCCCCGUCUCAAAAUAGAAAAUACAGGGUGCUGGGGGUGUGGCUUGGUGGUUGAGUGUUCCUGUGUUCCAUCUCUGUACUAAAAACAAAAAAAGUUAAAAAUAAAAUAAAUAAAAAGAGCAAUGAUGUGUGACCGAGGAAGGGGUUAGUCUGGUUUUAUAGGUUUAAGGCUC